rnacentral:rRNA from 1 species
GUGAGGAAUUUUCCGCAAUGGGCGAAAGCCUGACGGAGCAAUGCCGCGUGAAGGAUGAAGGCCUAUUGGUUGUAAACUUCUUUUCUCAGAAAAGAAUUAUGACGGUAUCUGAGGAAUAAGCAUCGGCUAACUCUGUGCCAGCAGCCGCGGUAAGACAGAGGAUGCAAGCGUUAUCCGGAAUGAUUGGGCGUAAAGCGUCUGUAGGUUGUUUAAAAAGUAUUCUGUCAAAGAUUAGGGCUUAACCCUAGAUAGGCAGAAUAAACUUUUAAGCUAGAGUUUGGUAGAGGCAGAGGGAAUUCCCGGUGGAGCGGUGAAAUGCGUAGAUAUCGGGAGGAACACCAAAGGCGAAGGCACUCUGCUGGGCCAAUACUAACACUGAGAGACGAAAGCGAGGGGAGCAAAUGGGAUUAGAUACCCUUGUAGUCC